ACGACAAUUAUACCACUAGAGGGUCUUGAUUCACAAUCCCUUCGCCUAAGAAGAAAAUCGAGUAAACACUAAAUAACAUAUAGAGCAAAACUAAACAUUAGAGUUCAUUCUUAACAAAGAAUAAGUGAAAACGAACGUCAGAAAAACAACGAUGAACUUACGCUAUUAAUUGCCUUAUGAUCGAAAUAAAGAUGUAACCCAAAGUCCACACGAAACCCGCAACAAAUUAUCAAAACAAAAAGGCUUCCAAAAAAAAAAGAAAGAGCAAGAAAAAUAAAAGAAAUAAGAAUAAAGAGCACAAGA
rnacentral:lncRNA from 1 species